rnacentral:rRNA from 1 species
UACGGAGGGUGCAAGCGUUGUUCGGAAUUAUUGGGCGUAAAGGGCAGGUAGGUGGUCUUGAAAGUCUACUGUGAAAUCCCCAGGCUUAACUCGGGAAGUGCGGUAGAUACUCCAAGACUAGAGUACUGGAGGGGUUCGUGGAAUUCCCGGUGUAGCGGUGAAAUGCGCAGAUAUCAGGAGGAACACCGAUGGCGAAGGCAGGUCUCUGGGCCACUACUGACGCUGAGAAGCGAAAGCAUGGGGAGCGAACAGG